rnacentral:rRNA from 1 species
AUUGAACGCUGGCGGCAGGCCUAACACAUGCAAGUCGAACGAGUGGCGGACGGGUGAGUAAUGUCUGGGAAACUGCCUGAUGGAGGGGGAUAACUACUGGAAACGGUAGCUAAUCCCGCAAACCAUCGGAUGUGCCCAGAUGGGAUUAGCUAGUAGGUGGGGUAAAGGCGAACCUAGGCGACGAUCCCUAGCUGGUCUGAGAGGAUGACCAGCGACACGGGAACUGAGACACGGUCCAGACUCCUACGGGAGGCAGCAGUGGGGAAUAUUGCACAAGGGGCGCAAGCCUGAUGCAGCCAUGCCGCGUGUAUGAAGAAGGCCUUCGCGUUGUAAAGUCCUUUCAGCGGGGAGGCGUUACCCGCAGAAGAAGCACCGGCUAACUCCGUGCCAGCAGCCGCGGUAAUUC